rnacentral:lncRNA from 1 species
AUGGGUGGAGGCUAGAGCCAAUCAAGAUGAAAGAAGAUUGCUGGGGAGAUUCAGUUGGCUAAAAAAGGGAUUGGUAGGUGAAGGAAGCGGCCUGGGUGUUGGUGUUUGAGAAAUAUGUGAUUGAUGGAAUUAAGCGUCCUAUGAGAGAGGUGGCUACACAAUCAAUGUUUGUUCAUCUGUGAUGUUUGGGUUCAUUGAUAAGGUACUUAGUUCGAUUAUCAAAUAAUUUACUCAUGUUUGUUAGGUUUACUUAUGUGAAUCCUUUUGCCAUGAUUUAAUCUUGAGUGUGUGAAUCAUAUGACAUUUUUCACUUUGUUGUAUGCAACGAGCUUAAAUCGAGAAUUCAAGAGUGU